rnacentral:rRNA from 1 species
UACGUAGGGUGCGAGCGUUGUCCGGAAUUAUUGGGCGUAAAGAGCUCGUAGGCGGUCUGUCGCGUCGGUCGUGAAAACCUGCAGCUUAACGUGUGGGCUUGCGGUCGGAUACGGGCAUGACUGGGAGUUGCGGCAGGGGGAGACUGGAAUUCCUGGUGUAGCGGUGAAAUGCGCAGAUAUCAGGAGGAACACCGGUGGCGAAGGCGGGUCUCUGGGCCGAUACUGACGCCGAGGAGCGAAAGCGUGGGGAGCGAACAGG